UGGAAAACUUGAGUGCAGAAGAGGAAAGUGGAAUUCCAUGUGUAGCGGUGAAAUGCGCAGAGAUAUGGAGGAACACCAGUGGCGAAGGCGACUUUCUGGUCUGUAACUGACGCUGAUGUGCGAAAGCGUGGGGAUCAAACAGGAUUAGAUACCCUGGUAGUCCACGCCGUAAACGAUGAGUGCUAAGUGUUAGGGGGGUUUCCGCCCCUUAGUGCUGCAGCUAACGCAUUAAGCACUCCGCCUGGGGGAGUACGACCGCAAGGGUUGAAACUCAAAGGAAUUGACGGGGACCCGCACAAGCGGUGGAGCAUGUGGUUAAUUCGAAGCA
rnacentral:rRNA from 1 species